rnacentral:rRNA from 1 species
AGAACGAACGCUGGCGGCGUGGAUAAGACAUGCAAGUCGGACGCGAUUUAUCCGGUUAGCAAUAACUGGGUAGAUUGAGUGGCGAAAGGGUGCGUAACACGUGGGAAUUUACCAAGAAGUGGGGAAUAGCUCGACGAAAGUCGAAUUAAUACCGCAUGUGAUCGUAAGAUCAAAGCCGGGGACCGCAAGGCCUGGCGCUUUUUGAGAAGCCCGCGGCCCAUCAGCUAGUUGGUGAGGUAAUGGCUCACCAAGGCUAUGACGGGUAGCUGGUCUGAGAGGACGACCAGCCACACUGGAACUGAGACACGGUCCAGACACCUACGGGUGGCAGCAGUCGAGAAUUUUUCACAAUGGGGGAAACCCUGAUGGAGCGACGCCGCGUGGAGGAUGAAGGUUCUUGGAUUGUAAACUCCUGUCACUGCAGAACAAGGAUACGCCAGUUAACAGCCGGCGUA